rfam:Desulfobacterium autotrophicum HRM2, complete genome.
GAGGGAGGGCCCCUCGGAGCCGCCUUUCAGGAGGCGGCUUCAAACCACCCUGAGUUGCUGUGGUUAAGAGCCAUUGAUAAGAUGCAAAUACUCUAACGC